AAUUUUUCAAAAAGUCAAAUAGAUUAAAAUUAUAUUUUUUGUUGUUAAAAAUAAUAAUAUAAAAUCCUCAAAGACAAUCCAGAUCAUUGCAGUAGUUAAUGAAAAAGGUGACCUUGAAGAAACCUUCACCUGUUGCGAAGUUCGGCGAUGUGGGCGUUUUGCGUCCAGGAGCAGGGUUUGAUGAUGAACUGUUAUACUUGGAGGCGGCUAUGCUUGUAACGGAGUUUUAUAUUUGUAUAUGGAGCCUGUAUACGAAGCGUAUUUUGGACAUCAAGGCGAAAAUAUCACGUUGCAGAAGGAAAAGGGAAAGGUGCAAUUAACCGGUACGUGCUGGCCGGGCGGGUUGUGCGUCAAUUUGAACCACCGAUCCCGUUGUUUUUGGCUACCUGAUCGACGCGCAGGUUCCCACAACCUGAGUCACUGGCUCCCUGUAAUCUAAAGCCGCCGAUCAUUCUUAAUAUCGUCAUGAGCGAAGAAGUAACUCCAUAGUGACACUCCGAUGUAGGUAAACCUACGGUGGCGGAUCAGACAUAAUGAGUCAAAAACAGAGGUGAUUCUGUUCACUCGCAGAAGGCCUAAUGUUGACUGUUUUGUGACAAUAAAUGGAAGGUGUAUUCCAUGGAAAAUAGAAGUGAAGUAUCUCGGUUUGAUGCUGGACUCAAAGCUCACGUUCACCAAGCACAUCAACACGGUAUGCGAUAGAGGAGUGGCUCUGAUCUGCAAUUUAUUUCCAUUGAUAAAUAGACACACUGAUCUGAGUACAUUUAAUAAAAAGUUAAUUUAUUAUUUGUAUAUUCGACCCAUGCUGUUGUAUGCGGCUCCUGUCUGGUCUAAUACAUGUAUCACCAACUACAGGAAGUUGCAGGUUGUGCAGAACAAAUGCUUGAGACUGAUUGGUUCCUUUUACAGGUGGACGCCAAUAGACUACAUGCAUUCAGUAUUGGAGGUGACUAGUGUCUCUACACAAGCCCACAGUAUAACAUCAAGAUUUUGCAAAGCUUGUGAACUUAGUGAAUACACUAAUAUUAGAAAUGUUGUUAACUAUGAAGCUGCCUCCUUGCAGACACUUUACAAAAAAUAUAAGUACAAAAGAGUGAAGCACAUUUUGCUGUAAAUUAACCAUAUAAGAUCAGGUAUAUAGGCAGAAAGCCUGAAGCCAGUCUUUUAAUUUCUUUUGUAAAUACUGUAUAUAUUUUGUAAAUAAAAAUAAAUUUCAAAUUU
rnacentral:lncRNA from 1 species